rnacentral:lncRNA from 1 species
ACGCUUGCCAAUUUGUCAACAAGUUUUUGGCGUCGUUGCCGGGGACUCAUGGUAGAACUAUUCUAUGUGUGCGAUUCUUGAUCGAUUAGACUUUCUUUUUAUUUUAUUUGUCUUAUUUCAACAUAAAAUUUCAACACCUACUGAGGGGUGUUUGGGCUUUACCGGGUCAAGCUAAUGACGUUAAAAGAGCGCUUGCUGGGAGGCAACCCAGUUUCUGAAUUUUUUUCAAUUUCGUUUUGAUUUUAUUUUAUUUGAUUUUAUUUUUAUUUUAUUUUUAUUUUCUUUUAUUUGAUUUUUUUAUUUUAUUUGAUUUGGUUUUAUUUUAUUUUAUUUUAUUUUCUUUAUUUUUUUGGGUUAUGCAUUGCUUCUGAUGGCAGUGAUGAUAGCAUCUACUGAUGGAUGCUUCUACAAUAUCUACUGAUGGAUGUUAGGUGAUAUGGCAUUUACUGAUGGAUGCCAAUGAAGAUUAGAAAGAU